rnacentral:tRNA from 1 species
GCCCCCGUGGCGCAAUGGACUAGCGUGUUGGACUUCUAACUGAAAGGUUGUGGGUUCGAGUCCCACCGGGGGUG